CAAAUCCUGACUCUUGCUCAUUGCAGCGUGUCACCUUGAGCGACUUCCAGAUCUCUCUGACUGCGCUCUCAGGAAUACGAAGGAACUGAGGCACAGAGAAUGAAGCCACAGUUAAACCAGUGAAGAACGCCACACACUUCGAAUCUUUCCAAAAACACCUUCCACCCGGAAUAUUGGUACAUUGGCACGGGAGGUGGAGACACGGCACUGGCUGCCCUCCUGCGCAGUUUUAUACUCAUCGUCUGCUCACGGCGAGGCACGGCAAGAGAGAAGAGGAAGCUCCAAGGCCCCGGGGUUGACUUUACCAGCAGUGAGUGACCUGGGUCACAUUCAGACUCUCAGUGCGAGGCCCUGAGUUGGUGGUCAUCCGCCAUUGUAAUCAGGGCUCCAGGAACCCCAGUCCUCAGAGCCUGCCUCAGCACCAAAGUUCACCCUAAGCCCGGAUUUAUCGUCUUGAUUUCUUAAGCUGUGAGGUUUCUGGACAAAGUGAAGAGAGAACCGAGUUUGGGAAAUUCACUGUUGAAUUCCAGUCACUGCCCCUGGGCAGCUCCUGCCACCCUGCUCAUAGCAGCCUGCCCUGGCCUGCCCUUCCUGCAGCAGCUUGGAGCCUUCGGCCGCCCCCGACCCAGCAACCAUGAGGAAGAGGUGACACCAGCAGACCCCCUGAGAGCAGUCCUUCAUCUCUCCUCAUUCAAUCAAGGCAGUCCUGUUGGGUGGCUUUCCCAGGCCGGGAGCCCUCCGGGCACUCAGGUGAGCAGCCAGCCUCGUGAAAAGGAAUUGCAUCCCAGGCCAGUGUGAUAAGACCAAUCACAGAGGUAUGCACGAAAUAUAGGUGAUGCCCCAAGCCGAGUAAGAGGAAGUCUUUGUGAGGUGGAGGUGGCCCUGUUAAAGGAAUGAAGAAAAGAUAGAAAAGACUGAACGAGAAAGCUGCAAAGGGCACGCCCAGGCCCAGGUACUGCCCGGAGUGGGACGUCCAGCAUGUAUCCACUAACCCUACCUGGGCCUCUGCUUCAUAAUGAGGCCGAGACCCUUGUCUGCACAUCAGAGCUGGCUGAGGCCCUCAUUUGUUUACACUUUAAUCCUAAUCUGAUCCUGGCUGGAAGGGAAGCUCUUCUCCUUUCACCCUUUCGGACAGUGGUUUUCCACCCACCAAGUCCCAACAAAGCAUUUAGGAAUACAAUGAAAUACAAGAGAAAACAUCAGAGCGCGUC